UACAGAGGUCUCAACCGUUGUUCGGAUUCAUUGGGCGUAAAGGGCGCGUAGGCGGUCGCGCAAGUCGGAUGUGAAAUCUCAGGGCUCAACCCUGAAACUGCAUUCGAUACUGCGUGGCUUGAGUGCUGGAGAGGAGACUGGAAUUUACGGUGUAGCGGUGAAAUGCGUAGAUAUCGUAAGGAAGACCAGUGGCGAAGGCGAGUCUCUGGACAGCAACUGACGCUGAGGCACGAAGGCCAGGGGAGCAAACGGG
rnacentral:rRNA from 1 species